rnacentral:rRNA from 1 species
AGAGUUUGAUCCUGGCUCAGAUUGAACGCUGGCGGCACGCUUAACACAUGCAAGUCGAACGGUAACAGUUAUUUUGAAGCUUCGGUGGAAAGAUAAGCUGACGAGUGGCGGAUGGGUGAGUAAUAGGUAGGAAUUUACCUUGAAGAGGGGGACAACCUUAGGAAACUGAGGCUAAAACCGCAUACAGUCUACGGACUAAAGAUGCCUUUUCAGAGGUGUUACUUCAAGAUGAGCCUACGUUGGAUUAGCUAGUUGGUAAGGUAACUGCUUACCAAGGCGACGAUCCAUAGCUGGUUUGAGAGGACGACCAGCCACACUGGGACUGAGACACGGCCCAGACUCCUACGGGAGGCAGCAGUGGGGAAUAUUGGACAAUGGGGGCAACCCUGAUCCAGCGAUGCCGCGUGUGUGAAGAAGGCCUUCGGGUUGUAAAGCACUUUCAUUGGUGAGGAGUCUAAGCUAAGUAAUAUGUAGCGAAAGAGGACGUUAGCCAAAGAAGCAGCACCGGCUAACCCUGUGCCAGCAGCCGCGGUAAUACAGGGGGUGCAAGCGUUAAUCGGAAUGACUGGGCGUAAAAAGCACGUAGGCGGGUUUAUAAGUUAGAUGUGAAAAGCCAUGGCUCAACCAUGGUCUGUCAUCUAAUACUGUAAGCCUAGAAUAUAUUAGAGGUAAGCGGAAUUUCCGGUGUAGCGGUGAAAUGCGUAGAUAUCGGAAGGAACAUCAGUUGCGAAGGCGGCUUACUGGGAUAAAAUUGACGCUGAGGUGCGAAAGCGUGGGUAGCGAACAGGAUUAGAUACCCUGGUAGUCCACGCUGUAAACGAUGAGUACUAGCUGUUUACAAGCGACGACUUGUGAGUAGCGAAGCAAACGCGCUAAGUACUCUGCCUGGGGAGUACGGCCGCAAGGCUAAAACUCAAAGGAAUUGACGGGGGCCCGCACAAGCGGUGGAGCAUGUGGUUUAAUUCGAUGCAACGCGAAAAACCUUACCUACCUUUGACAUCUAACGGAGAUACAAGAGAUUGUAUUGUGCCCGAAAGGGAGCGUUAAGACAGGUGCUGCAUGGCUGUCGUCAGCUCGUGUUGUGAGAUGUUGGGUUAAGUCCCGUAACGAGCGCAACCCUUAUCCUUAGUUGCCAGCAUGUAAUGGUGGGGACUCUAAGGAGACUGCCGGUGAUAAGCCGGAGGAAGGUGGGGACGACGUCAAGUCAUCAUGGCCUUUAUAGGUAGGGCUACACACGUGCUACAAUGGGUGUUACAGAGGGAGGCGAAGCCGCGAGGUGGAGCGAACCUCAGAAAGGCACUCGUAGUCCGGAUUGAAGUCUGCAAUUCGACUUCAUGAAGUUGGAAUCGCUAGUAAUCGCGAAUCAGCAUGUCGCGGUGAAUACGUUCCCGGGCCUUGUACACACCGCCCGUCACACCAUGGAAGUGUUUUAUACCAGAAGUAGAUAGACUAACCUUUUGGAGGUCGUUUACCACGGUAUGGGACAUGACUGGGGUGAAGUCGAAACAAGGUA